UGAAUAUAGUUUAAUAAAAAUCUUAGUCUGUGAAACUAAAGAUGAGGAUUAGUAAUCCUCUAU
rnacentral:tRNA from 1 species